CAAUCUGAAUACUCUUAUUCACCAAGUUCAGUAAAAAUCGAUCUUGUGCUAUGUGCGUGCAUGACGUGCGAAAUUUAUUUUAGCUAUUCCUGUUAUCAUCAUCUGUACGUCCUUUUACGGCCAAGCAUGCUAAAUCUGCUUUGAGCCUGCUUGCAAAAAAUUUGUGCCCACUGCAAGGCAGACGAAGUGCUAGCUCUGUAUGAUGUGUAAAAGAGACUGCUUUUGAUCAAAGCAUAUGAUGCUGUGCUAUGCGUGUGUGGUGUUCAGGGGCAAAUAUUGUGAAAUAAAUCUUCAAUUGCUAUGUGCGUGUGGGAUUUAAGGGCAGGUUUGUCUUUGCUGCAAAUUCUGAAAUAAAUAUAGCUUGAAUUGCAUAAGCAGUCACAAUAUUUGACAGUUUCAGUACUUUGAUUGUUCAUUUAUUAGGAGCCUGAUUCAUGUGCCAAUUGUUUCACCCCAAUGUAGGAAAAUGGUCUUGACCAAGCUGUCAAUUGUAGGAAAAUUCGAUUCACUAGAAAGCAACCGUACAAUGAAUGCCUCCAAACAGACAUGUGUGAGGUUUUGUACUUUGUAGCACAAUACCAUGAAUGUAAUUCAGAGCACAUCAUAGUUAUACAUUGAAGGCCAUUCAAAAAAUAAAAACCUACUGAAUGUUAGUACGCCAAUAUUUUGCAUUAUUAGUUUUCACCUGUGUCAAUAAAAACCUACAGAGAGUAUUUGAUAUGAUUAUUUACUGUAUUAUUGGGAAUAUUUUGAGUCAGCCAAUUUCGUUUUUUGUGAACUUAAGGUUAUUAAUGCAUUAUUAGUUCUCAAAGAUACUUGUCAAAGCUGAUUUAUUAUGUCCUCAUCAAUCUUUUUCAUUUUCUCCGGUGUAUUAUCGAAGAUACUUGCAAAAAUGGAUUUAACGAAUGGUGAGCUUGUGAUCAGCUUGAUAUUGUUACUAUAUACCAAGAUGAUUGGAGGUCAAAUUGGUGGAGAUGAAUCAGACCAUGCAAGAUCAAAUUGGCUGUAAAUUUAUUGGAGAGUGAUUGAACCAUUGUUUCUAGUGUUCCCUGGGAUCUUAACAUGAUUGCUUGGAAGUUUGAAGCUAACAGAAUUUUCUCCAUUGGUGAUCCUCGUUAGAGAUCCUAGCUGCUGCUUCAUACUCCAGAUCUCUAUUGACGAGAACAUCCCACAGACAAGAGAGGGGCUCCAAGAUCCACGCCGUCCGGCUGCCAUAGUUGCUCUCCUCCUUGUGAUCGGCCGAGCCACGGCGAGCGAGGCUAAGCAGGGGGAGAGGCUGCAAUCUCGAGGAGGCUCGCAUUGGUUGUCCGUCAAACGCUAGCGGUGUCGCAAGGCGGAGGUCGUCCGGAUGUGUUCCGACGACGGUGCUGGCCCAUCGGGUCACGCCGGCGGCCAGUAGUAGGCCGCGCAACUACGAGUAACUCUCUAGCCAUAGUAGGCCGCGCGACGGCGAGUAGGUACAAGCCGUCGUAGUUUUAGGUUUCGACUAACCGUCUCUGUAAAGAUGAUCAAUCAAUAGUUAAUGAGAAACAUUUUACUUAUAUUUAUCACUGCUCGGUGGGCU